UACGUAGGGUGCGAGCGUUGUCCGGAAUUACUGGGCGUAAAGAGCUCGUAGGCGGUUUGUCGCGUCUGCUGUGAAAACGUGAGGCUCAACCUCGCGCCUGCAGUGGGUACGGGCAGACUAGAGUGCGGUAGGGGAGAUUGGAAUUCCUGGUGUAGCGGUGGAAUGCGCAGAUAUCAGGAGGAACACCGAUGGCGAAGGCAGAUCUCUGGGCCGUAACUGACGCUGAGGAGCGAAAGCGUGGGGAGCGAACAGG
rnacentral:rRNA from 1 species